GAAGGUGUAUCUAGAAAGACAAAUUAGAGCUUGAAAAAUAAAGCAUUUCAUUUACAUUGAAAAGUAUAUUGUGUAAUUCAAUUUAAUUUGAUAAUAAAAAUUUAUUAAUUUUUUUUGUUUAAAAAUUUAUUUAAUAAAAUUAAUUUUAAAUUAAGUUUUUUUUGUAUAGUAUAUAGAUUAAAUAAUUUAUAUAAUAGUUAAUUAGGUAUUGUAAAAGAAUAUUGAAAUAUUUGAAAAAAUUUUAAAUUAAAAGUAGAUUUUAUAUAUUGUACCUUGUGUAUCAGGGUUUAUUAAUUAAAAAUUAAAAAUUUAAUUUUUCUCGAAUUUAAGAGAGUUAAUUUAUUAUUUAAUUUUUUGUUUCAUAAAAAUUUAAAAUAAUAAAUUAGAAAUGAAAUGUUAUUCGUUCUUUAAUAUAUCUAGUUUUUUAAGAAAUAAAUUAAAUUUAGAUUAUUAAUAAAUAAUUAUUUAUUUAAAUAAUAAAUUAUUAUUAAUAAUUAAUAUUUUAAGGGAUAAGCUUUAAAGUAAGUUUUAUAAUGAUUUUUUAAUUUAAAAAUUAUAGGUUUAGAAAUAGUCAUUAAUUAUAAAAAUGUUAUAAUUUAUUUUAAGUUAAAAAUAAUUUUUAUUAAUUUAAGUUUUUAUUAAAAUAAUUUUUAAAAUUAUAUAAGAAUUAAAAUAAUGAUAAAAUUAGUAUAUUUAAUUGUUUAAAAUAAUUAAAUUGAAAGGUUAAAUUAAGGAAUUUGGCAAAUAAAUACUCGCCUGUUUAACAAAAACAUGUCUUUUUGAAUAUAAUUUAAAGUCUAAUCUGCCCACUGAAAAAUUUUAAAGGGCCGCGGUAUU
rnacentral:rRNA from 1 species